rnacentral:lncRNA from 1 species
CACUGGUUAAAGGGGAACUGGAGAAAAUGAGAUCUUCAUUAAAACUUCUUUGGGCAGGAGGUCAAGGCCAGCAGAUCGCUUGAGCCCAGGAAUUCAAGACCAGCCUGGACAACAUGGCAAAACCCGUGUCUACAAAAAACAUAAAAAAAAUAGCUGGACAUGGUGGUGCUGGUGCUGGUGCGCACCUGUACUCAGCUAUUCAGGAGGCUGAGGUGGGAGGAUCACUUGAGCCCUGGAGGCAGAGGUUGCAGUGCAUUUAGAUCAUGCCACUGUACUCCAGCUUGGGCAACAGAGCAAGACCCUGCCUCAAAAAAAAAAGGAAAACAAUGUUCCAAUGUGUUCAUUAAAAAUGAACAAGAAGCAAAGCAGUAAUACUCAGAACAGAACCAAGUGAGAUCAGAAGAUCCCCAAAGACCUACAUCCUGCCCAGUAAAUUGGUAAAUCUCAUAACCAUAUAAGAUUAAGUCUCUGGAAGAAUAAAAGUCCUGUGAUUCUCAACCCUUUAGCCAUCCCUGGGCUUCUCAACCCGUAUCAACAGGAAGAGGUGUCCAGAUCUCAAAAGGUGGAUCUGCUCCAAUGGCUAUUUUUGAAGAGGCCAUGGAGGAUAAGGAUGAUCUUACAGAGAACAGAACUGAGGCACCCAGAUGGUAUGACCAAGAAACGCACACAACUAGGACCAGGAGCUAUCAUUAUUCCUCUCCAGCAGGAUAAGACAGAGCUGUGGACUACUGACAUUCUAUUUUCCCUUGCAUUAUAUAGUGGAUGCAUUGACAUUUGAACUAAGGCUUCCAGAUCAUGAGGAACUACCUCUAGACCUGACCAAAAGGGAAUACCUCUCAGAGAUCCCAAACAAGUGGAUGGGCUUUUUGGAUUGUAAUUGGGUAAUCCCACCCACUUACUUACUAGAUAAAGCCUACCUUUUUUCCAGAAGUAUAAUAAUGAACUCAAGUCAUCAGUAUCUCGUUAAAAUACCACCUCAUCAUAAUUUGCAAAAUGUUAAAAUAUCUAGCUAAUUAAUGAUACCUUUCCUGAUUUUCCAUCAUUAAUAUCAUUUUUUAAUUUUAAUAUUUAAUAGUUUGAUGUAAUUUUAAUGGGAGGAAUGCAAGUUAAAGGAAUGAGCUCAAAUUGCCACCUUGAAAAAGAAAAUAUAGUUUGUUCAUUUAAAAAGCACUUUAACUAUUUUACUGUUAAAUUUCUGUUCUUAACCUUUUUUUUUUCUUUUUGAGACAAAGUCUUGCUCUGUCGCCCAGGCUGGAGUGCAGUGGCGCAACAAUCUCAGCUCACUGCAACCUACGCCUCCUGGGUUCAAGCAAUUCUCCUGUCUCAGCCUUGCAAGUAACUGGGAUUACAGGCG